rnacentral:rRNA from 1 species
UACGAAGGGUGCAAGCGUUACUCGGAAUUACUGGGCGUAAAGCGUGCGUAGGUGGUUUUUUAAGUCCGUUGUGAAAGCCCUGGGCUCAACCUGGGAAUGGCAGUGGAUACUGGAAAGCUAGAGUGCGGUAGAGGGUAGUGGAAUUCCCGGUGUAGCAGUGAAAUGCGUAGAGAUCGGGAGGAACACCAGUGGCGAAGGCGGCUACCUGGACCAGCACUGACGCUGAGGCGCGAAAGCUAGGGGAGCAAACAGG